GACGAACGCUGGCGGCGUGCUUAACACAUGCAAGUCGAACGAAGAGCGAUGGAAGCUUGCUUCUAUCAAUCUUAGUGGCGAACGGGUGAGUAACGCGUAAUCAACCUGCCCUUCAGAGGGGGACAACAGUUGGAAACGACUGCUAAUACCGCAUACGAUCUAACCUCGGCAUCGAGGAUAGAUGAAAGGUGGCCUCUACAUGUAAGCUAUCACUGAAGGAGGGGAUUGCGUCUGAUUAGCUAGUUGGAGGGGUAACGGCCCACCAAGGCGAUGAUCAGUAGCCGGUCUGAGAGGAUGAACGGCCACAUUGGGACUGAGACACGGCCCAGACUCCUACGGGAGGCAGCAGUGGGGAAUCUUCCGCAAUGGACGAAAGUCUGACGGAGCAACGCCGCGUGAGUGAUGACGGCCUUCGGGUUGUAAAGCUCUGUUAAUCGGGGACGAAAAGGCCCUUCUUG
rnacentral:rRNA from 1 species